ACCAUGCUACAACCGCACAGAGCUGGGUUAAGUAUUGCUUCGGUAAUCCCCUGUGAUGGCGAGUCUAAGUAUAUGA
rfam:Listeriaceae bacterium FSL A5-0281 contig000029, whole genome shotgun sequence.